AUUUACCUUUACAAAACAGUCACAUCGGUUCAGAUAAUUGUCUCUUUUCUCUCCCCUGCUUGCUUUGUAUUCUCCACAGAACGAAAGGAGGUAUUUGUGCAAUUAAUUGGCUGCUUCCUUAGUCAUCAAGCCCAUACUGAUAAAAAGGGACUAUAUCAAAACAACAUUCAUGGGCAGAUUCAAACAUUCUUCAGACCAAACACAUCAUGACUCAACAACAAAAGAAGGGUAAGAAGAAUUCUAGCUGAGGCAUAUCCAAAGCUUUGGCCCAGUGGAUUCAGGCAUGGCCCAAACCUUUUGGAGCGGAGUGGCGGCUGCCGUGUCAUGAGAGGCAGUGGAAAAUAUGACAACAGAAGAGAAGGCACUGUGACCAUGGAGGCAGCCACAAGCCAUGGGAUGCUGGCAGCUACCAGAAGCUGGGAGAAGCAAGGAAUAGAUUUUCCCCUGUAACCUUUGGAAGAAAUGUGGUCCUGUUGACAUUCUGAUUUUGGCCCAGUGAAACUGAUUUCAAACCUUCCUCCAGAACUGUGAAAGAAUAAAUUUCUGUGUUUUAAGCUGCCAA
rnacentral:lncRNA from 1 species